UCCAAUGCUAGGACUCCCUCAGGGACUUCAGUGGUAAUGGUAAUUAUUAUUGUUUUACUUGAUCUUCGUUACCACUUACCACUGAAGUCCCUGAGGAAGUCCUAGCAUUGGA